rnacentral:lncRNA from 1 species
UUACUGCAGGGCCAGAAGAGGAAGCAAAGCAGUAAUGCUGUUAACCCCUUUAAACGUGUUAUUUUAAUGAGUCUGACAGGUGGGUAUCAAGCCUAUGUUUAUUUCUCUGCUAUCUGAGGUACAGUGUUGAAAGAAAACAAUAGAAAAUGUAUGGGAGCCACAGCUCAGUGCUCAGACAGCUCUUGGGCUCUUUUUAAUGCCUGGGGCCAAUUAAAGCACAGUUGUUAGGCUGGGACCCUUGAUGGGAAGUAUGUUGGGGUGUGUGCAUGUACGCCUUUCGAUUUAGGAAGAUAAAAAUUAAAAAUGUGUGUUAAAGCAAGAGUUAGACUUCUUACUAGGCUGGGGAUGUGUACAUGAACUAUCACUGUGAAGUACCUUUGCAGGUGAAGUCAUGGUGGAAAUCAAAGCAGCCUGAAAAUAAAACCAGUGGGGAAGUUGCCAUAAAGCACUUUAAAAUAGUGCCUCUGUUUUAGACAAGCUGCCUCCUACAAAUUAGACAGAAGAAAAGCAAUGCACUCAGGAAAUGUGAAGUGCUACUGAUUUUCUUAGAACAAGAGGCAUGGUACCAACAGCUAUUUAAAUGUUGCAGAGCUUCAACACUCUGAGUUGAUACAUACUUGCUUUUGCUUUAAUCUGCUUAUCUUUCUUCUCCCUUUUUUGUUGUUUUAGACUUGCCUUGCUAAGUUCUCCCAGCACAUGUUUUUAGCAGCCCUAAAAUCAUAAAACUUGUGGGAAAGGCAAACAAGGAGCAAAGAUUCAUCAUUUCUCACCAGAGAAGAGCUAUGGCUGAAGCAGUCAAGGAAGGCUGGGGUUUUCUGCAUUACACAUAACUAUGUAUAUGUAAUGAGUGGUUCUAGUAUUAUGCAGAUGUUGCAAGGUGUGCUCAUACUGCUGUUUGAAGAACAUUCAGUUCUCCUCCAGUGGUGCCAUGAGCUGAAUCAAUGUCUCUGCUGCUGUGGAGUCCCUCAUGUGUCUGCGCCUGCCCUGGUUGAUGACAUCAAACCCUGUGGACACGGAAGAAUUACAAUAAUUCUUUCUGAAGGGUGA